rnacentral:rRNA from 1 species
UACGUAGGUGGCAAGCGUUGUCCGGAUUUAUUGGGUUUAAAGGGUGCGUAGGCGGCUUUGUAAGUCAGUGGUGAAAUAUGGCAGCUCAACUGUCAAGGUGCCAUUGAUACUGCGGAGCUUGAGUACAGAUGAGGUAGGCGGAAUUGACGGUGUAGCGGUGAAAUGCUUAGAUAUCGUCAAGAACACCUAUAGCGAAGGCAGCUUACUAGGCUGUAACUGACGCUGAGGCACGAAAAGUGUGGGGGAUCAAACAGG